rnacentral:rRNA from 1 species
UACGUAGGGUGCGAGCGGUAAUCGGAAUUACUGGGCGUAAAGCGUGCGCAGGCGGUUUUGUAAGGCUGACGUGAAAUCCCCGGGCUUAAACUGGGAAUUGCGUUGGAGACUGCAAGGCUGGAGUCUGGCAGAGGGGGGUAGAAUUCCACGUGUAGCAGUGAAAUGCGUAGAGAUGUGGAGGAACACCGAUGGCGAAGGCAGCCCCCUGGGUCAAGACUGACGCUCAUGCACGAAAGCGUGGGGAGCAAACAGG